rnacentral:rRNA from 1 species
AGUGAACGCUGGCGGUAGGCCUAACACAUGCAAGUCGAACGGCAGCACAGUAAGAGCUUGCUCUUACGGGUGGCGAGUGGCGGACGGGUGAGGAAUACAUCGGAAUCUACUUUUUCGUGGGGGAUAACGUAGGGAAACUUACGCUAAUACCGCAUACGUCCUCCGGGUGAAAGCAGGGGAUCUUCGGACCUUGCGCGAUUGAAUGAGCCGAUGUCGGAUUAGCUAGUUGGCGGGGUAAAGGCCCACCAAGGCGACGCUCCGUAGCUGGUCUGAGAGGAUGAUCAGCCACACUGGAACUGGGACACGGUCCAGACUCCUACGGGAGGCAGCAGUGGGGAAUAUUGGACAAUGGGCGCAAGCCUGAUCCAGCCAUACCGCGUGGGUGAAGAAGGCCUUCGGGUUGUAAAGCCCUUUUGUUGGGAAAGAAAAGCAGCAGGUUAAUACCCCGCUGUUCUGACGGUACCCAAAGAAUAAGCACCGGCUAACUUCGUG